rnacentral:lncRNA from 1 species
GUGCAAGGGGAGGAGUGAAUGGUGGGCAAUUGCUAGGAAAGAGUUUUUAACUUUGACAAAUAGUUUCUAAUCAAGAGACAACAGUUUUGCACCCCUCAGCUGUCCUUCCUAAGCUCGUGUGAGAAUACUGGGUUGAAAAGCACUGUUUUCUCCUCUGGGCACCAAAGUACAGCCAGGACUGGGCCUCCACUCUGGGAAGGGCCAUGUGACCGUAUCUCAGCGCAUUUACUGGGCCCCUUCUCCACCUGGGCUCCUGCACCAGGAACAGCUCUUAGAGUUUCCAGCCUCCUGAGCUCUCAGUAUAGCAAGGAAAGUGGCAACAGAGAAUUCCAACUCCUACCAGUCCUGGCAUAUCAGCAGUACCUCCCUGGCCGUGGGCGACUGUGGAAAGGUUACAGGAGAGUCUGGAAGAACGUGCACAUCCCCAGUGCUCUGUGGCUGGACAGGCAAUCCUGA